rnacentral:lncRNA from 1 species
AGUCAACACAUUUUAUUUGUAUUUCAGCUUUUCUUUUGAAUUAUCUAGAUUAUCAACUGAUUUCCUUAAAUACAGGUAAGUGUUUACACUGUCCUUGCUUAUGUGCUUCUUCAGUAGCAUUUCAUAAUAAAUGUUACCUGCUAGAAACUAUAAAGCACAGAAUAACUGAAAGGAAAACAAAUUUCAAUACAAUCAGGAAUCUCAUUCAAAUCUCUGUCUAGUUGUGUCAUUUGAUGUAUGGGAGUUGUUUCUCUGCACAGAAAUUUAUUUCUCUUUCAUGUUCCCUCAGGGCCAAAUUUCAGGACGGGAUGGAAUUUCCACCCAGCAGCAUUUCUCUGAAACCACUGUCAGGUUUUGAAUCUCUCCUUUUCUGCUGAAAAAGGAGAAGUAAUAAGCAAGAGCAUCAUUCACUCACAGGAUUCUCACAUUUUCUAAAUAGAUGAAGAAAUGGCUGCUUAACAGAAGGAUCCUUAAGAAGAGUGGUUAAGAGUAGAAGCAACUACUAACUUGGACUCAUUCUUCAUAAGGAACAAUUUAUUAUUUGUUUGUUUGUUUGUUUCCUGCUUUUAAACGAUCCAGAAAAAAAGAAAAAAAAAAUCCCAGUUUAAAAUUGUCCACAAAGUCAAUGAACAAAUUUUCUUUGAUCUGCAGGCAGAUUUCAAAAAUCUAGCUGUGACCAUCUCUCUUCACUGGUGUACUGGUUACUGAAGUAUGUCAGAUGUCCUCAGAUGUCAGAUUACCUCAGAUGUCGUGUCUGUUCUGGUUAUUCAUAUAGCAAUCAACGAGAGAGUUGCAGCACUACAUAUCUGAAUUGAUUUUCAGUCUCUUGUGGGCAGAAGCAGGCUAAGCACUUUAAGGCAUGAAGAAAGUGCUCCUGCCUGACCAAACUUUGUCUAAGCAGGCAAAAGGGGAAACGGGAGAGGAGAAUAUGUCCAAAAUUACACAAGUGACUAAUAGCAAACAAUGAAAUCAACAUUAACUGCAUUUAAGUCCAAGAGGCAGUGUGGCUCAUGCUGCAUUUUACCUGUAGAAUUUGCAGGGGAGACCAAACACUAAAUCUAUUCACUUGUUAGAAUCUAUGUGGCAUGUUGCACAAUUCUGAGUUCUUUAUUUUUGCCUUUUGUUUUCAGUCUUGUUCCCUAAGGAAAUGAAACUUCUGCAAUCACAGUGGGUGUGUAUGGGUACAUGCACUUGAGUUGAAGUAGUAAGUUUUGAGCCUGUUGGCAAACGUUAUCGAAAUUUGACACAGAGUAGUAGUGUCAAACAUAAUGUAAUUCUUACAUAAACUGUGAAAAUAGGGAGAUAAUUGUAAAUGCCAGCCCAUAGCCUGGGAGCAAAUAUCAUAGACCCUUGAAAAUGUAUGUGGUAGAAAUAAUAUUACUUUCAUUUAGUUAUUAACAGAACAAUGCACAGACCCCUUCAGCCAGGUUUU